rnacentral:lncRNA from 1 species
GGACACUUUAACCGACAAACAAAAUAAACAAAGUGACAUUUCUCAAAAAAAUCUCUAUGCACCUCUUUCUUACCCAUCAAAAAUCAUUCAGAGGGGGAGAGAUUAAUUAGAGGCUUUUUUGUUUGUAUUAUAUUCGAUCUUUGAUCGAUCUUUUUAUUCCAUUAAUGGACUUUUCGUUUCGAUCUCUAGAUCGAUCUUGCUUUUCCGGUUAGCAGAUUUCUCUUCCCUAAGAGAUUUUGGAGUGUCUCAAUCUCAAUUUCAAAGUGGAUCUUCAUGUUCUAUCUUUCUUUGAUUUGGGAUUGAUUAAUAAUCUAUCUAUCUAUUUUCACCUUCUCCUUUGGUUCUUAGUUUUUAAAUCCCGUUUGAUAUUGAGAAAGAAUUGUUUUUUCUCUGGUUAUUCUCGGGGCCGGAAUUUGAAAAGAAUCAAUCUUUGUCUUCUGAUAAAAUUGGCUGGUUGGCCUUUGGGCAGAGUAUCUGAUCAGAUCUGGUCCUUGAGUUAUUUGAUUUAGCAGGAGAAUUUUGGAAGAUUCAGUAGAGGUGAAGCUUUUCAUAUAGAAAAGUGUUUCAACGAAGUUUUUUUCCAGAAUUGUUCUCAGAAGCUUGUCACCGCUGUACACAUCUGGAGAAAAACAUGAAAUUUCUUAGUAUCUAUGAUUAUUGGAGGGGAAAGGUUACGCAAGUGGACUAAGCCGGUGAAUCCUUGCCAUGUUUCAGAAAUUUUUUUCUGCUUCUAGUCGGAGAAGAAGAGCGGCGAGAUUCUCCGGCAACUCCAAGCGGCGGCUCUCUUCUUGAUAUACUAAAACUGAACUUUUUUACUGUCAAGUUAACAGUGGUAAUUGUAGUAAUUAAGAUUCAAUCUAGAGAAGCAGUCUACACUCUAUUCUUAUGAGAUUUCAACUUAGCAAAAACUAAAAGUGGGGUUUUGAAUUAAGUGGUGACGUGCAAGUAAACUAAACGAUUUAAAAAGAUUCAAAUUCGAUAUUAAAGAUAAACCGAUCUAAGAUUUCUUAUCGGGUGUCAAAACUCAGCCAAUCA